rnacentral:lncRNA from 1 species
GGGAAGUGUAGCUUCGUGUCAUCGUGAAUGGUUAGUACUUUCAUGGAUGCGCAACUGCUUUUCAACUGGCCUAGGCGGCUAAUGUUGACCUCAGCUGUGAUGUACCUUGCACUUUCAUCAUUUGACUAAGUGCUUCUUGUACUUGCCUUUUAAUCUCCGCCUGCAUCUAUUCUUCACGAGAUUUCUCACGCUCUUGUGACUGCAUAACAAAAAUUUCUAGCUGGCGGAUCCGCUCUGCCUCCUCGUCCUUCUUUCUCUAGCGGCUUCUGU